AUUGAACGCUGGCGGCAGGCCUAACACAUGCAAGUCGAGCGGAGCGGCGGACGGGUGUGUAAUGCCUAGGAAUCUGCCUGGUAGUGGGGGAUAACGUCCGGUAACGGGCGCUAAUACCGCAUACUAUCAGAUGAGCCUCGGUCGGAUUAGCUAGAUGGUGGGGUAAAGGCUUACCAAGGCGACGAUCCGUAACUGGUCUGCGAGGAUGAUCAGUCACACUGGAGCUGGGACGCUGGCCAGACUCCGACGGGAGGCAGCAGUGGGGAAUAUUGGGCAAUGGGCGAAAGCCUGAUCCAGCCAAGCGGCGUGUGUGAAGAAGGUCUUCGGAUUGUAGAGCACUUUAAGUUGGGAGGCGUUACCAACAGAAUAAGCACCGGCUAACUUCGUGCCAGCAGCCGCGGUAAUUC
rnacentral:rRNA from 1 species